rnacentral:rRNA from 1 species
AGAGUUUGAUCAUGGCUCAGAAUCAACGCUGGCGGCGUGCCUAACACAUGCAAGUCGAACGCGAAAGCCCCGCAAGGGGUCAGUAGAGUGGCAAACGGGUGAGUAACACGUGGGUGAUCUGCCUCAGAGUGGGGGAUAACGACCCGAAAGGGUCGCUAAUACCGCAUAACAUCCUGCCUUUGGAUAGGUGGAGAUCAAAGCCGGGGACCGCAAGGCCUGGCGCUUAGAGAGGAGCCCGCGGCCGAUUAGCUAGUUGGUGAGGUAACGGCCCACCAAGGCAACGAUCGGUAUCCGGCCUGAGAGGGCGGACGGACACACUGGGACUGAGACACGGCCCAGACUCCUACGGGAGGCAGCAGUGGGGAAUUGUUCGCAAUGGGCGCAAGCCUGACGACGCAACGCCGCGUGGAGGACGAAGAUUUUCGGAUCGUAAACCCCUUUCGAUCGGGAAGAACAGCUUUUGAGUUAACAGCUCGAGAGUCUGACGGUACCGAGAGAAGAAGCCCCGGCUAACUCCGUGCCAGCAGCCGCGGUA